rnacentral:rRNA from 1 species
AACGAACGCUGGCGGCGUGCCUAACACAUGCAAGUCGAACGUGAUUAGAGAGCUUGCUCUCUAUGAAAGUGGCGCACGGGUGAGUAACGCGUAGAUAAUCUACCUGGUGAUCUGGAAUAACACUUCGAAAGGGGUGCUAAUACCGGAUAAGCCCACAGGGUCUUUGGACCCGGCGGGAAAAGGAGGGGACCUUCGGGCCUUCCGUCGUCAGAUGAGUCUGCGUACCAUUAGCUAGUUGGUAGGGUAAAGGCCUACCAAGGCGACGAUGGUUGGCUGGUCUGAGAGGAUGCUCAGCCACACUGGAACUGAGACACGGUCCAGACUCCUACGGGAGGCAGCAGUGGGGAAUUUUGCGCAAUGGGGGAAACCCUGACGCAGCAACGCCGCGUGAGUGAUGAAGGCCCUUGGGUCGUAAAGCUCUGACAGAGGGAAAGAAAUGUGGGUGGCUAAUAUCCAUACCACUUGACGGUACCCUCAAAGGAAGCACCGGCUAACUCCGUGCCAGCCGCCGCCGUAAUAC